GACGGCUCCGUGUUCCUGAGCGAGCGCUGCGGGGAGGCGGCGCUGGAGCUGCAGAGGGAUUUCGUGUCCGUGCUCGACAUCGAUUUCCUGGAGCUGCUCCUGAGCCCCCGGCGGGGGGAGGACGGCGAGGGGGGGGCGGGCCCCCCCGAGGAGCUG